GCCUCCGUAGCUCAGUGGCAGAGCAUCGGUUUUGUAAACCGGGGGUCGGGAGUUCAACUCUCUCCGGAGGCU
rnacentral:tRNA from 1 species